AUUGAACGCUGGCGGCAUGCCUUACACAUGCAAGUCGAACGGCAGCACGGGUGCUUGCACCUGGUGGCGAGUGGCGAACGGGUGAGUAAUACAUCGGAACAUGUCCUGUAGUGGGGGAUAGCCCGGCGAAAGCCGGAUUAAUACCGCAUACGAUCUACGGAUGAAAGCGGGGGACCUUCGGGCCUCGCGCUAUAGGGUUGGCCGAUGGCUGAUUAGCUAGUUGGUGGGGUAAAGGCCUACCAAGGCGACGAUCAGUAGCUGGUCUGAGAGGACGACCAGCCACACUGGGACUGAGACACGGCCCAGACUCCUACGGGAGGCAGCAGUGGGGAAUUUUGGACAAUGGGCGAAAGCCUGCUCCAGCAAUGCCGCGUGUGUGAAGAAGGCCUUCGGGUUGUAAAGCACUUUUGUCCGGAAAGAAAUCCUUGGCUCUAAUACAGUCGGGGGAUGACGGUACCGGAAGAAUAAGCACCGGCUAACUACGUG
rnacentral:rRNA from 1 species